rnacentral:rRNA from 1 species
UACGUAGGGACCGAGCGUUGUCCGGAUUCAUUGGGCGUAAAGAGCUCGUAGGCGGCUGUUCAAGUCGAACGUGAAAACUCGGAGCUCAACUCCGAGCCUGCGUUCGAUACUGGACGGCUAGAGUCUGGUAGGGGGAUCUGGAAUUCCUGGUGUAGCGGUGAAAUGCGCAGAUAUCAGGAGGAACACCGGUGGCGAAGGCGGGUCUCUGGGCAACAACUGACGCUGAGGAGCGAAAGCGUGGGGAGCGAACAGG